CUUAACAGCUCAAGUUUGGCAUAUUAGCUACAGUAUAUUUUAACAGCUCUUCAUGCCUGACGAGGAACUAUACAAGAAUCAAAAUAAUAUUUUAUCAUUUCUCUACCUGUCGCUCUCUCUUUCUCUCGAUUUUUCGUUGUCUUCAUCUCCAAAAUCUUCCAUUUCUCUUUCUUUUCUUUCUUUCUUCUGAAACUCUCAUCUCUGUCUUCGUCCCCUUCUCUCUGUCGCCCUUUUCUUCUUCAACCCGUCGCUCUUCCCCAAAUGAAAUCAUAGAAUUCCUUCUUCCUUCCCACUUGCUGAAAACGCCCUCCCUUCUCAUCAGCAGUGGAUUAUAUAAUCUAGAACUCCUAGAGAGAUAGAAGGAAUCGUCACGAUUUCACUCGACAUGGAAGGUAACUUGUUCUAUUUUCUCAAUCUCAACUCAUACAAGCGUUUUGGGUUCUUUGGUUUCUCAUUUUUUGUUUAAUUCUUGUGAAUUGCUCCGGAUUUCUUGCUUUAGAAUAUGUAAUUGAAUUCUGGGAUAUUGAACUCUUUGCAAGAAUAGAAAAGCUAUUGUAAUGGUGGAGAUAGUUCCUAGAAUGUCUUAUGGAAUGAUCUUAUUGAAGAUUUGUAUGGAGUUAGGAAGCCUUGUACAUAAAUGAGGGAACCUGGUUACCUGCUCGAGUUAUGGAAGAGUGAGCUAAGUGUGGCCGGUAUAACCUUCAAUUCUGGAAGUAGACAUAAUUGUGAAAGCGCAAGACAUAUAAGCAUAAUGUAAUAUAGCAAAUGAUAAGAUGGAAAAUAAAUUAAUGUAACCACAAUGGUAAGCACUGUGAAAGACAAUUCUACAAAUAUCACCAAAUGUGAUGUCUAUUCUUA